UACGUAGGGGGCAAGCGUUGUCCGGAAUGAUUGGGCGUAAAGGGCGCGUAGGCGGCCUGGUAAGUCUGGAGUGAAAGUCCUGCUUUUAAGGUGGGAAUUGCUUUGGAUACUGUCGGGCUUGAGUGCAGGAGAGGUAAGCGGAAUUCCCGGUGUAGCGGUGAAAUGCGUAGAGAUCGGGAGGAACACCAGUGGCGAAGGCGGCUUACUGGACUGUAACUGACGCUGAGGCGCGAAAGUGUGGGGAGCAAACAGG
rnacentral:rRNA from 1 species